AUUGAACGCUGGCGGCAGGCCUAAUACAUGCAAGUCGAGCGGAGCGGCGGACGGGUGAGUAAUGCCUAGGAAUCUGCCUGGUAGUGGGGGAUAACGUCCGGAAGCGGGCGCUAAUACCGCAUACUAUCAGAUGAGCCUAGGUAGGAUUAGCUCGGUGGUGGGGUAAAGGCCUACCAAGGCGACGAUCCGGACCUGGUCUGAGAGGGGGAUCAGUCACACGGCAAAGGAGAAACGGUCCAGACGCCUACGGGAGGCAGCAUUGGGGAAUAGUGGACAAUGGACGAAAGCCGGAUCCAGCCAGGCCGCGUGUGUGAAGAAGGGCUUCGGAUGGUAAAGCACGUUAAGUUGGGAGGCGUUACCUAAAGAAUAAGCACCGGCUAACUUCGGGCAAGCAGCCGCGGUAAUAC
rnacentral:rRNA from 1 species